rnacentral:rRNA from 1 species
UACAGAGGGGGCAAGCGUUAUUCGGAAUUAUUGGGCGUAAAGGGCGCGUAGGCGGCUUGGCAAGUGGAAGGUGAAAUCACUCGGCUUAACCGAGGAACUGCCCUCCAAACUGCUUCGCUUGAGACCGGGAGAGGUGAGUGGAAUUCCCAGUGUAGCGGUGAAAUGCGUAGAUAUUGGGAGGAACACCAGUGGCGAAGGCGGCUCACUGGACCGGUACUGACGCUGAUGCGCGAAAGCGUGGGGAGCAAACGGG